rnacentral:rRNA from 1 species
UACGGAGGAUGCAAGCGUUAUCCGGAAUGAUUGGGCGUAAAGGGUGCGUAGGUGGCGGGGUAAGUCAGGUGUGAAAUCUCGAGGCUCAACCUCGAAACUGCACUUGAUACUGCCUUGCUAGAGUACUGGAGAGGAGAUUGGAAUUUACGGUGUAGCAGUGAAAUGCGUAGAUAUCGUAAGGAAGACCAGUGGUGAAGGCGAAUCUCUGGACAGUUACUGACACUGAGGCACGAAGGCCAGGGGAGCAAACGGG